GACGAACGCUGGCGGCGUGCCUAAUACAUGCAAGUGGGACGCAAGAGAACACACUGUGCUUGCACACCGUGUUUUCUUGAGUCGCGAACGGGUGAGUAACGCGUAGGUAACCUGCCUAUUAGCGGGGGAUAACUAUUGGAAACGAUAGCUAAUACCGCAUAAUAUUAAUUAUUGCCUGAUAAUUGAUUGAAAGAUGCAAGCGCAUCACUAGUAGAUGGACCUGCGUUGUAUUAGCUAGUUGGUAAGGUAAGAGCUUACCAAGUCGACGAUACAUAGCCGACCUGAGAGGGUGAUCGGCCACACUGGGACUGAGACACGGCCCAGACUCCUACGGGAGGCAGCAGUAGGGAAUCUUCGGCAAUGGACGAAAGUCUGACCGAGCAACGCCGCGUGAGUGAAGAAGGUUUUCGGAUCGUAAAGCUCUGUUGUAAGUCAAGAACGUGUGUGAGAGUGGAAAGUUCACACAGUGACGGUAGCUUACCAGAAAGGGACGGCUAACUACGUGCCAGCAGCCGCGGUAAUACGUAGGUCCCGAGCGUUGUCCGGAUUUAUUGGGCGUAAAGGGAGCGCAGGCGGUCAGGAAAGUCUGGAGUAAAAGGCUAUGGCUCAACCAUAGUGUGCUCUGGAAACUGUCUGACUUGAGUGCAGAAGGGGAGAGUGGAAUUCCAUGUGUAGCGGUGAAAUGCGUAGAUAUAUGGAGGAACACCAGUGGCGAAAGCGGCUCUCUGGUCUGUCACUGACGCUGAGGCUCGAAAGCGUGGGUAGCGAACAGGAUUAGAUACCCUGGUAGUCCACGCCGUAAACGAUGAGUGCUAGGUGUUAGGCCCUUUCCGGGGCUUAGUGCCGGAGCUAACGCAAUAAGCACUCCGCCUGGGGAGUACGACCGCAAGGUUGAAACUCAAAGGAAUUGACGGGGGCCCGCACAAGCGGUGGAGCAUGUGGUUUAAUUCGAAGCAACGCGAAGAACCUUACCAGGUCUUGACAUCCCGAUGCUAUUCUUAGAGAUAGGAAGUUACUUCGGUACAUCGGAGACAGGUGGUGCAUGGUUGUCGUCAGCUCGUGUCGUGAGAUGUUGGGUUAAGUCCCGCAACGAGCGCAACCCUUAUUGUUAGUUGCCAUCAUUAAGUUGGGCACUCUAGCGAGACUGCCGGUAAUAAACCGGAGGAAGGUGGGGAUGACGUCAAAUCAUCAUGCCCCUUAUGACCUGGGCUACACACGUGCUACAAUGGUCGGUACAACGAGUUGCGAGCCGGUGACGGCAAGCUAAUCUCUGAAAGCCGAUCUCAGUUCGGAUUGGAGGCUGCAACUCGCCUCCAUGAAGUCGGAAUCGCUAGUAAUCGCGGAUCAGCACGCCGCGGUGAAUACGUUCCCGGGCCU
rnacentral:rRNA from 1 species